AAACCUUUUUUGCCCAUUAUAAGUAAAUGAGAAGAUUUGAAGAAUUCAUUAAAAAUUUGACCUUUGUGAAAAGCUGUGAUAUUCCCUUCUGAGCAUGAAGUGGAAUGAGAAUAAUGAUUCAGGUCAUACGUUCACUGUCAUUGAUGACUGAGCACUGAGGAGGGGAAUAUGAUCAGA
rnacentral:snoRNA from 1 species